rnacentral:rRNA from 1 species
AGUGAACGCUGGCGGUAGGCCUAACACAUGCAAGUCGAACGGCAGCACAGUAAGAGCUUGCUCUUACGGGUGGCGAGUGGCGGACGGGUGAGGAAUACAUCGGAAUCUACUUUUUCGUGGGGGAUAACGUAGGGAAACUUACGCUAAUACCGCAUACGACCUACGGGUGAAAGCAGGGGAUCUUCGGACCUUGCGCGAUUGACUGAGCCGAUGUCGGAUUAGCUAGUUGGCGGGGUAAAGGCCCACCAAGGCGACGAUCCGUAGCUGGGCUGAGAGGAUGAUCAGCCACACUGGAACUGAGACACGGUCCAGACUCCUACGGGAGGCAGCAGUGGGGAAUAUUGGACAAUGGGCGCAAGCCUGAUCCAGCCAUACCGCGUGGGUGAAGAAGGCCUUCGGGUUGUAAAGCCCUUUUGUUGGGAAAGAAAAGCAGCAGGUUAAUACCCCGCUGUUCUGACGGUACCCAAAGAAUAAGCACCGGCUAACUUCGUG